rnacentral:rRNA from 1 species
UACGUAGGGCGCAAGCGUUGUCCGGAAUUAUUGGGCGUAAAGGGCUCGUAGGCGGUUUGUCGCGUCGAGUGUGAAAGCCCGGGGCUUAACUCCGGGUCUGCAUUCGAUACGGGCAGACUAGAGGCAGGUAGGGGAGAACGGAAUUCCCGGUGUAGCGGUGAAAUGCGUAGAUAUCAGGAGGAACACCUGUGGCGAAAGCGGCUCGCUGGAUCACAACUGACGCUGAGGGACGAAAGCUAGGGGAG